UCAUUUUAAAUAAUUAAUCAUCCCUAGUUUAUCCAUGAAAAUUAAUUCAAGUAAAAGGCUAGGUAUGCUGUUUAGUAUUUUUUGCGUUUUUAGUAGUGGUUAUCAUACCUGUCAAGUGUCAGUCCUGUCACAGGCUUAAUAUUACUCUGUGUUGCGAACUGUGAAUUUACUUGUGCCAAUUUUAGAAAUGGUUAAGAUAUGUGCUAUUGUGGGGUGCAUAAACAAAGCUGGAAGCAGAGUAUCUUUCUUUUGUAUUCCAAAAGUAAUACAGAAAGACACAGAAUCAGAACAACAAUUACAGAAGAAAAGACGUUCGUUGUGGAUCAAGCAACUAAAGAAUAGCAUUUCCAUAACUGAUCACAGUGAUACUAGGGUUUGUAAUGAACAUUUUAUUACUGGGACUCCUAACAAAGAUGAGUCUCACCCUGAUUGGGUCCGACACCCAGUGAGAAAAUUGUUGUUACACCAUUAUUUGCUAGCUAUUUCGAAGAUUCAUCAGCAACUUUAUCUGCAGUAUUGCUAAACCCUGAAGAACAGACUGCGGAAUACAGUGAUCAUAUGGAUCUUGAAACAGCAAACACUCAUUCCAAAAAUGAACCAGUUGAUGAAGUAAUAAGUCACUGGGUGUCGAUGACUGUUGAUCUUUACUUUCCACUUGCUUCCUGUUGAAUUUUCUUAAAUGACGUUGCAAUUUAUUUUUUGCAUCUUCUUUACUUGUUAUUAUAUCAGCAUUACACUUCACGUUGGGGACCCAAUCAGGGUGAGACUCAUCUUUGUUAGGAGUCCCUGCAACACCAAAUAACAACAUUAAACAUAUGUUAAAUUGUUGUAUAUGAAUUCUUUACUAACCAGUGAUAAAAUGUUCAUUACAAACCCUAGUAUCACUGUGAUCAGUUAUGGAAAUGCUAUUCUUUAGUUGCUUGAUCCACAACGAACGUCUUUUCUUCUGUAAUUGUUGUUCUGAUUCUGUGUCUUUCUGUAUUACUUUUGGAAUACAAAAGAAAGAUACUCUGUUUCCA